CCUACGGGAGGCAGCAGUAGGGAAUAUUGCUCAAUGGGGGAAACCCUGAAGCAGCAACGCCGCGUGGAGGAUGAAGGUUUUACGAUUGUAAACUCCUUUUGUUAGAGAAGAUAAUUACGGUAUCUCACGAAUAAGCACCGGCUACCUCUGUCCCAGCAGCCGCGGCAAUACGGAGGGUGCAAGCGUUACUCGGAAUCACGGGGCGUAAAGAGUGCGCAGGCGGGCGUGUAUGUCAGAUGUGAAAUCCUGUGGCUUAACUACAGAACUGCAUAUGACACUAUGAGUCUAGAGUGUGGGAGAGGUAGGUGGAAUUCUUGGUGUAGGAGUAAAAUCCGUAGAUAUCAAGAGGAAUACUCAUGGCGAAGGCGACCUACUGGAACAUUACUGACGCUCAUGCACGAAGGCGUGGGGAGCAAACGGGAUUAGAUACCCGUGUAGUC
rnacentral:rRNA from 1 species